rnacentral:pre_miRNA from 11 species
UGUGCGACGCGCUGUGGAAGACUAGUGAUUUUGUUGUUCUAAGCUCACGUCCCUGACAACAAGUCCCAGUCUACCUCAGCGAGUCCCGCU